rnacentral:rRNA from 1 species
CCUACGGGAGGCAGCAGUGGGGAAUAUUGCACAAUGGGGGAAACCCUGAUGCAGCGACGCCGCGUGAGUGAAGAAGGAUUUCGGGAUGGAAAGCUCUAUCAGCAGGGAAGAAAAAGACGGUACCUGAGGAAGAAGACACGGCUAACUACGUGCCAGCAGCCGCGGUAAUACGUAGGGGGCAAGCGUUAUCCGGAUUUACGGGGUGUAAAGGGAGCGUAGACGGCAGCACAAGUCUGGAGGGAAAUGCCGGGGCGUAACCCCGGAACUGCGUGGGAAACUGUGCAGCUAGAGUGCAGGAGAGGUAUGUGGAAUUCCUAGUGUAGCGGUGAAAUGCGUAGAUAUUAGGCGGAACCCCAGUUGCGAAGGCGGCUUACUGGUCUGUAACUGACGUUGAGGCUCGAAAGCGUGGGUAUCAAACAGGAUUAGAUACCCUUGUAGUC